UUCAUAGAUACAUACAUAUAAACCUUCAUUGUACUAUGCUAUAAUUUCUUCUGAAUAUAGAAUUAUUUUAUCAUAAAAUAAUUAAAAUAAUAAUAUUAAAUACCAACCAUUUGUAUGUACCAUAGGGCGCUACUUAAUAUCUACAUACCCUAUACCACUGAUAUGUAUACUAUGGAUACGAGAUUCCCAUAAGCUAGCUGUACGGCGGUUGAAGCGAAUUGAACGAGAUUUUACUCGCCAACACCGCCACCGUUCGACAAAAUACAUAAUUUUCAUUGUUUGUCUAAUAUUUCGCUAGAUCCGGUCGUACCCAUCACUAUUCCGAACAAG